AACGAACGCUGGCGGCAUGCCUAACACAUGCAAGUCGAACGAGACCUUCGGGUCUAGUGGCGCACGGGUGCGUAACGCGUGGGAACCUGCCCUUAGGUUCGGAAUAACUCCCCGAAAGGGGUGCUAAUACCGGAUAAUGUCUUCGGACCAAAGAUUUAUCGCCUUUGGAUGGGCCCGCGUUGGAUUAGCUAGUUGGUAGGGUAAAAGCCUACCAAGGCGACGAUCCAUAGCUGGUCUGAGAGGAUGAUCAGCCACACUGGGACUGAGACACGGCCCAGACUCCUACGGGAGGCAGCAGUGGGGAAUAUUGGACAAUGGGCGAAAGCCUGAUCCAGCAAGGCCGCGUGAGUGAUGAAGGCCUUAGGGUUGUAAAGCUCUUUUACCCGGGAUGAUAAUGACAGUACCGGGAGAAUAAGCCCCGGCUAACUCCGUG
rnacentral:rRNA from 1 species